GACGAACGCUGGCGGCGUGCUUAACACAUGCAAGUCGAGCGGAAAGGCCCUUUCGGGGGUACUCGAGCGGCGAACGGGUGAGUAACACGUGUGUAAUCUGCCCCCUACUUUGGGAUAACCCCCGGAAACGGGAGCUAAUACCGGAUACGACCACUCCAGGCAUCUGGUGGUGGUGGAAAGUUUUUUCGGUGGGGGAUGUGCUCGCGGCCUAUCAGCUUGUUGGUGGGGUAAUGGCCUACCAAGGCUUUGACGGGUAGCCGGCCUGAGAGGGUGACCGGCCACACUGGGACUGAGACACGGCCCAGACUCCUACGGGAGGCAGCAGUGGGGAAUAUUGGACAAUGGGCGGAAGCCUGAUCCAGCAACGCCGCGUGAGGGAUGACGGCCUUCGGGUUGUAAACCUCUUUCAGCACCGACGAAGCGGAAGUGACGGUAGGUGCAGAAGAAGGACCGGCCAACUACGUGCCAGCCGCCGCAGUAAGAC
rnacentral:rRNA from 1 species